rnacentral:rRNA from 1 species
GAUGAACGCUGGCGGCGUGCCUAAUACAUGCAAGUCGAGCGGACGGACGAGAAGCGUUCCUCUCUGAUGGUAACGGGGGGCGUAUUAGUAACACAUGUAUCAGCUACCGAUAGGACUGGGGGAACUUCGUGAAACAGUAGCUCAUACCGGCUAAUAUUUUGAACGGCGUGGUUCAAAAGUUAAAGAGGGUCUUGCGGUCGCUUGUAGAUGAAUCCGCUUUUCAUUAGCUAGUUGGUAAGGUAAAGGCUUACCAAGGCAACGAUGGCUAGCCGACCUGAGAGGGUGAUCGGCCACACUGGAACUGAGACACGGUCCAGACUCCUACGGGAGGCAGCAGUGGGGAAUCUUCGACAAUGGGCGAAAGCCUGAUCCAGCCACGCCGCGUGAGGGAUGAAGGUCUUCGGGUUGUAAAACUCUGUUGUUAGGAACGAAAAGCUGUGUAAGAAAAUGUGGACAUCUUGACGGUACCUAAAGAGAAAGCAACGGCUAACUACGUG